GUGUGAUGGACUGCCUUUUGCAUAAUGAGCCUGCGAGUUGUGGUGUCUGGCGAGGUUAAGGAAACCCGGAGCCGUAGCGAAAGCGAGUCUUAAUAGGGCGUUUAGUCAGAUGCUGCAGACCCGAAACGAUGUGAUCUAUCCAUGAGCAGGUUGAAGCCGGUGUAAGAGCCGGUGGAGGACCCAACCGACGGCCGUUGAAAAGGCUCCGGAUGACUUGUGGAUAGGGGUGAAAGGCCAAUCAAACAUCGUGAUAGCUGGUUCUCUCCGAAAUAUAUUUAGGUAUAGCGUCAUGUAGUAACACUGGGGGGUAGAGCACUGAAUGGGCUAGGGCAUACACCAAUGUACCAAACCCUAUCAAACUCCGAAUACCUAGUGUGUAAUCAUGGCAGUCAGGCGGCGAGUGAUAAAAUCCGUCGUCGAGAGGGGAACAACCCAGACUAACAGCUAAGGUCCCUAAAUCUCAUUUAAGUGGAAAACGAUGUGGAGUUACUUAAACAACCAGGAGGUUGGCUUAGAAGCAGCCAUCCUUUAAAGAAAGCGUAAUAGCUCACUGGUCUAGUGAUUCUGCGCGGAAAAUAUAACGGGGCUAAAAUGAGUACCGAAGCUUUAGACUUAGUUUUACUAAGUGGUAGGAGAGCGUUGCAUUCAGCGUCGAAGGUGUACCGGUAAGGAGCGCUGGAGCGAAUGCAAGUGAGCAUGCAGGCAUGAGUAGCGAUAAUUGGGGUGAGAAUCCCCAACGCCGUAAACCCAAGGUUUCCUACGCGAUGCUCGUCAUCGUAGGGUUAGCCGGGUCCUAAGCAAAGUCCGAAAGGGGUAUGCGAUGGAAAAUUGGUUAAUAUUCCAAUGCCAACUAUAAUGUGCGAUGGAAGGACGCUUAGAGUUAAGCAAGCUAGCGGAUGGUAGUGCUAGUCGAAAGGUGUAGGUUAAGAUCCAGGCAAAUCCGGAUCUUUUUAAGCCGAGACCCCACAGGCGUUUGAAGUUCUUCGGAAUGGAUAGCGAAUUGCUGAUACUGUCGAGCCAAGAAAAGUUUCUAAGUUUAGUUAUAGUUGCCCGUACCGUAAACCGACACAGGUGGGUGGGAUGAGUAUUCUAAGGCGCGUGGAAGAACUCUCUUCAAGGAACUCUGCAAAAUAGCACCGUAUCUUCGGUAUAAGGUGUGCCUAACUUUGUGAAGGAUUUACUCCGUAAGCAUUGAAGGUUACAACAAAGAGUCCCUCCCGACUGUUUACCAAAAACACAGCACUCUGCUAACUCGUAAGAGGAUGUAUAGGGUGUGACGCCUGCCCGGUGCUCGAAGGUUAAUUGAUGACGUUAGCUCUGCGAAGCGUUUGAUCGAAGCCCGAGUAAACGGCGGCCGUAACUAUAACGGUCCUAAGGUAGCGAAAUUCCUUGUCGAUUAAAUAUCGACCUGCAUGAAUGGCGUAACGAGAUGGGAGCUGUCUCGAAGAGGGAUCCAGUGAAAUUGUAGUGGAGGUGAAAAUUCCUCCUACCCGCGGCAAGACGGAAAGACCCCGUGGACCUUUACUACAGCUUGACACUGCUAUUGGGAUAAAAAUGUGCAGGAUAGGUGGGAGGCUUUGAUCCAUAGACGCCAGUUUAUGGUGAGCCGUUGUUGAGAUACCACUCUUUUUUAUUCUGAUAGCUAACUAGCUUGAGUUAUCCUCAAGUAGGACAAUGUCUGGUGGGUAGUUUGACUGGGGCGGUCGCCUCCCAAAAUGUAACGGAGGCUUACAAAGGUUGGCUCAGAACGGUUGGAAAUCGUUCGCAGAGUAUAAAGGCAAAAGCCAGCUUAACUGCGAGACAUACACGUCAAGCAGGGACGAAAGUCGGUCUUAGUGAUCCGGUGGUUCUGUGUGGAAGGGCCAUCGCUCAAAGGAUAAAAGGUACCCCGGGGAUAACAGGCUGAUCUCCCCCAAGAGCUCACAUCGACGGGGAGGUUUGGCACCUCGAUGUCGGCUCAUCGCAUCCUGGGGCUGAAGUCGGUCCCAAGGGUUGGGCUGUUCGCCCAUUAAAGCGGUACGCGAGCUGGGUUCAGAACGUCGUGAGACAGUUCGGUCCCUAUCUGCCGUGGGCGCAAGAAGAUUGAGGAGAGUUGACCCUAGUACGAGAGGACCGGGUCGAACCAACCACUGGUGUACGAGUUGUCCUGCCAAGGGCACCGCUCGGUAGCUAUGUUGGGAUGUGAUAACUGCUGAAAGCAUCUAAGCAGGAAGCCAACUCCAAGAUGAAUCUUCUUUUAAGAGCUCUUAUAGACUAUAAGUUUGAUAGGCUGGGUGUGUAAUGGAUGAAAGUCCUUUAGCUGACCAGUACUAAUAGCUCGUCUGCUUAUCUU
rnacentral:rRNA from 1 species